rnacentral:rRNA from 1 species
UACGUAGGGACCAAGCGUUGUUCGGAUUUACUGGGCGUAAAGGGUGCGUAGGCGGCAAUUCAAGUCAGCUGUGAAAUCUCCGGGCUUAACUCGGAACGGUCAGCUGAUACUGCUUUGCUAGAGUGCAGAAGGGGCAAUCGGAAUUCUUGGUGUAGCGGUGAAAUGCGUAGAUAUCAAGAGGAACACCUGAGGUGAAGACGGGUUGCUGGGCUGACACUGACGCUGAGGCGCGAAAGCUAGGGUAGCAAGCGGG